GACGAACCGUGCGAACGUUAUUCGGAAUCACUGGGCUUAAAGCGCGUGUAGGCGGAUGAGCACGUCUGUCGCUGAAAUCCCCCGGCUCAACCGGGGAACGGGCGCGGAUACGGCUCAUCUCGAGGGGCGUAGGGGGACCUGGAACUUCCGGUGGAGCGGUGAAAUGCGUUGAGAUCGGAAGGAACGCCCGUGGCGAAAGCGAGGUCCUGGACGCCUACUGACGCUGAGACGCGAAAGCCAGGGGAGCGAACGGG
rnacentral:rRNA from 1 species